UCUUUAAAAUAUAUAUAUAUAUAUAUAUAUAUAUAUAUAUAUAUAUAUAGGGCUACUCUAAUGAGAACUUUAAGUGGUGAGAACUAGAUACCAGGCUUAAAACAAAAAUAGAUACUGGGCUUAAAAUUAGGACAAGGCCCAAUAACAUAAACAUCCUGGACAUCGACGGUUUUUAAAAAUUAAAAUCAGUAUCAAACGUAACCAUACACCGUUACCCACUCAAACUCUCACUAGCAAAUCACCCCCAAAUCACAAAAAUCUCUCAACUACGCUGCUCAAUCGCCGUGUUUUGCUGUUGAACGCUCCUCAACGCUGCUCAAUUUGUUCUUAUUUCGUGCUUGGACGAAACUCGAGCACUAAAAAACCGGUUUCACUAAGUGAAGGGGAAGCAAGGUCUUUCCUGUGUAAUAUGCAUAUGGAAGGAUCCAGUAGAAGGCAAAGCAAAAUAUUAAAAAAAAACAUAUCUCGAGCACUAAAAAAUUGAUGGGAUAGAGAGCACAACUUCAAUGAUUAAGGGUGAAAUACUCAAAUGCAAUCCUUACACCUCACUUGAAUGAAUACAAAGAGAUUGAACCAAAGCGGGCAAAAGGCUUCUACAAAAAGAUUGCAAACAAGACACUCAUGUCCAUUGUACUUGCAUCAAGUUCAAAGAAACCCAAGAACACAGAGAUUCAUGGAAAUGUUAUAUUUUCAGACAUUGAAACAGAACAUGAAGAAGCAUGAUGAAGUACCGGCUGCUAGAAAGUUUAAUGUAUAGAAUUCUAUUUGUCAUAAAAACAUAUAUCACUUGUAUUCUACAUUUGAAUUUCAGUCAUUACUAGUGUUUUAAGGAACUUAUUGUAUUAUGCAUGUAGAAUUUCAGUCAUUACUA